GAAUGCUGACAUAAGUAACGAUAAAGCGGGUGAAAAGCCCGCUCGCCGGAAGACCAAGGGUUCCUGUCCAACGUUAAUCGGGGCAGGGUGAGUCGACCCCUAAGGCGAGGCCGAAAGGCGUAGUCGAUGGGAAACGGGUUAAUAUUCCCGUACUUGGUGUUACUGCGAAGGGGGGACGGAGAAGGCUAUGUUGGCCGGGCGACGGUUGUCCCGGUUUAAGCGUGUAGGUGUGUGUUCCAGGUAAAUCCGGUUCACUUUAACACUGAGGCGUGAUGACGAGGCACUACGGUGCUGAAGCAACAAAUGCCCUGCUUCCAGGAAAAGCCUCUAAGCAUCAGGUAACAUCAAAUCGUACCCCAAACCGACACAGGUGGUCAGGUAGAGAAUACCAAGGCGCUUGAGAGAACUCGGGUGAAGGAACUAGGCAAAAUGGUGCCGUAACUUCGGGAGAAGGCACGCUGACAUGUAGGUGAAGUGAUUUACUCAUGGAGCUGAAGUCAGUCGAAGAUACCAGCUGGCUGCAACUGUUUAUUAAAAACACAGCACUGUGCAAACACGAAAGUGGACGUAUACGGUGUGACGCCUGCCCGGUGCCGGAAGGUUAAUUGAUGGGGU
rnacentral:rRNA from 1 species